AAGACGGGCGAUAUUAGAUCAUUACGCCAGCAUCCUAGGCUCGAAAGCCGCAGUCCUCGGUCUAGAUAGGCAGUAUCAGCUGAAGCUAUAACACUCCGAAGAGCCACGUUCAACAGCCAUUAUCCUGCCAUCCAAACCGAUGCUGGCCCAGUGAAAGACGAGUGAACAGCCUACAAGAGGCUGAAUAUCGCCAAACACCAAGUCUGAUCUAAUAACCUUCCCUUUCAACAAUUUCACGUACUUUUUCACUCUCUUUUCAAAGUUCUUUUCAUCUUUCCAUCACUGUACUUGUUCGCUAUCGGUCUCUCGCCAAUAUUUAGCUUUAGAUGGAAUUUACCACCCACUUAGAGCUGCAUUCCCAAACAACUCGACUCUUCGAUAGCACUCUACAUGGAAUUGGACACCCCAUCGCACGGGAUUCUCACCCUCUGUGACGUCCUGUUCCAAGGAACAUAGACAAGGGCCAACUCCAGAGUACAAUCUUCAAAUUACAACUCGGGCACCGAAGGUACCAGAUUUCAAAUUUGAGCUUUUGCCGCUUCACUCGCCGUUACUGAGGCAAUCCCUGUUGGUUUCUUUUCCUCCG
rnacentral:rRNA from 1 species